rnacentral:rRNA from 1 species
UAGGGAAUCUUCCGCAAUGGGCGAAAGCCUGACGGAGCAACGCCGCGUGAGUGAUGAAGGUCUUCGGAUCGUAAAACUCUGUUAUUAGGGAAGAACAAAUGUGUAAGUAACUAUGCACGUCUUGAUGGUACCUAAUCAGAAAGCCACGGCUAACUACGUGCCAGCAGCCGCGGUAAUACGUAGGUGGCAAGCGUUAUCCGGAAUUAUUGGGCGUAAAGCGCGCGUAGGCGGUUUUUUAAGUCUGAUGUGAAAGCCCACGGCUCAACCGUGGAGGGUCAUUGGAAACUGGAAAACUUGAGUGCAGAAGAGGAAAGUGGAAUUCCAUGUGUAGCGGUGAAAUGCGCAGAGAUAUGGAGGAACACCAGUGGCGAAGGCGACUUUCUGGUCUGUAACUGACGCUGAUGUGCGAAAGCGUGGGGAUCAAACAGG